AUGAAGUAUAGGGGCUGACGCCUGCCCAGUGCUGGAAGGUUAAAAGGAGGACUUAGCUUCGGCGAAGGUCUUAAUUGAAGCCCCAGUGAACGGCGGCCGUAACUAUAACGGUCCUAAGGUAGCGAAAUUCCUUGUCGGGUAAGUUCCGACCCGCAUGAAAGGCGUAAUGAUUUGGGCGCUGUCUCAACAAUAGACUCGGUGAAAUUUAAAUUCCAGUGAAGAUGCUGGGUACCCGCGACAGGACGGAAAGACCCCGUGGAGCUUUACUGUAGCUUGAUAUUGAAUGUUUGUGCUGCAUGUGCAGGAUAGGUAGGAGACUUUGAAGUCGGAACGCUAGUUUCGAUUGAGUCACCCUUGAGAUACUACCUCUGUUGUAUGAACGUUCUAACUCUGAUCAGUUAUCCUGAUCGAAGACAGUGUCUGGCAGGCAGUUUGACUGGGGCGGUCGCCUCCUAAAAGAUAACGGAGGCGCUCAAAGGUUUGCUCAGAAUGGUUGGAAAUCAUUCGUAGCGUGUAAAGGCAUAAGCAAGCUUGACUGUGAGACUGACAAGUCGAGCAGGUACGAAAGUAGGACUUAGUGAUCCGGUGGUUCCGUAUGGAAGGGCCAUCGCUCAACGGACAAAAGCUACCCCGGGGAUAACAGGCUCAUCUCCCCCAAGAGUCCACAUCGACGGGGAGGUUUGGCACCUCGAUGUCGGCUCAUCGCAUCCUGGGGCUGUAGUCGGUCCCAAGGGUUGGGCUGUUCGCCCAUUAAAGCGGUACGCGAGCUGGGUUCAGAACGUCGUGAGACAGUUCGGUCCCUAUCCGUCGUGGGCGCAGGAAAUUUGAGAGGAUCUGUCCUUAGUACGAGAGGACCGGGAUGGACAUACCUCUGGUGUACCAGUUGUUCUGCCAAGAGCACCGCUGGGUAGCUACGUAUGGAUUAGAUAAUCGCUGAAAGCAUCUAAGUGAGAAACUAACCUCGAGAUGAGAUUUCCCAUUCGUCAGAAGUAAGACCCCUGAGAGACGAUCAGGUAGAUAGGCUAGAAGUGGAAGUGUAGUGAUGCAUGGAGCGGACUAGUACUAAUAGGUCGAGGACUUAACCAAG
rnacentral:rRNA from 1 species